CCAGGACUGGAUAAACCACUGGCCGGUUAAAUGAAAGUAAUGCUACUCCUGCAGAAUAGCAUGCGAAGAAGUGACAGGUACCAAGUUUGUUUUUCUUCUGGACUCUCCUGCCUCCGACACUGAAGACUCUCCACACCUUCAACUUCUGCUGUUUCAGAUGAGUCAAUGAAAAAGGGUUUUUAAGACCACAGGGAAGACACAUAAAAUAAGAUGAUUGGUAACUUUCUGUGCAAUAGCAGUUGUAUACAAGACGACAGCCCUGUUGGAGCCUUCCUGGUCUUGGCACUCACCAGGUUGCUGUGUCUGGGCGGCCUCAUACACAAGGUCUAUACAUCUUUAAGCUCCAAGACACACAACCAUGACCGUUGACUGGCUUGGCUCCCGUUUCUAUCAGUCGUGU
rnacentral:lncRNA from 1 species